rnacentral:rRNA from 1 species
UCUGAACGCCCUUAGUCAGAAUCCGUGCUAGAAACGAUGAUGUUGGUGUCGCACAUUAGACUUGUGUUUAAAUAGAGCUUUGCUCGUGAACCAAAUAUGGUGGGCUGGGUUGUCUUUGCGGAAACGCUUGGGCGACUUGUCUACGAAUUGUAAUCAUAAUAUGGGCGGCGGUGAAUCCUUUGCAGACGACUUGAAUGGGAACGGGGUACUGUAAGUGGUAGAGUAGCCUUGUUGCUACGAUCCACUGAGGUUAAGCCCUUGUUCUAAAGAUUUGUUCA